ensembl:snRNA U12 U12 minor spliceosomal RNA
AUGCCUUAAACUGAUGAGUAAGGAAAAUAACAAUGCGGGGUGAUGCCUGUGUUCUCCGGUUCACUUCUGUGAAUAAUUUUUGUAGGGAUACAGGUCUGUCUGCUGAGAUGACUUGCUUACUUUGCAAGAUGUUUCGCAGAGCAAGGAUCUAUCCU